rnacentral:rRNA from 1 species
CCUACGGGGGGCUGCAGUAGGGAAUAUUGGACAAUGGAGGCAACUCUGAUCCAGCCAUGCCGCGUGAGUGAUGAAGGCCUUAGGGUUGUAAAGCUCUUUUAGUGGGGAAGAUAAUGACGGUACCCACAGAAAAAACUCCGGCUAACUCUGUGCCAGCAGCCGCGGUAAUACAGAGGGAGUUAGCGUUGUUCGGAAUUACUGGGCGUAAAGGGCGCGUAGGCGGCUUUUUAAGUUAGAAGUGAAAGCCCGGGGCUUAACCUCGGAAUUGCUUUUAA